rnacentral:rRNA from 1 species
AGCCUCAAAUCUAGCCCGCAUAACCCGCAUGAAGCCCCCAAACCACUGCAAAAAUAUAAAUCAUUUUAACACUUUAGUAUAGGUGAUAGAAAAAUUACUAAGCGCAUUAGAUAUAGUACCGCAAGGGAAACAUGAAAUAGAAAUGAAACAAUAUUACAGCCACAAACAGCAGAGAUAUUACCUCGUACCUUUUGCAUCAUGGUCUAGCCAGUCCACCCAAGCAAAAUGAAAACUUUAGUCUGACCCCCCGAAACUAAGCGAGCUACUUCGAAACAGCUUUAAGAGCCAACCCAUCUCUGUUGCAAAAGAGUGGGAAGAUUUUCAAGUAGAGGUGACAAGCCUACCGAGCCUAGAGAUAGCUGGUUGUUCAAGAAAAGAGUUUUAGCUCUGCCUUAAGCUUCUAUAUUAUGUCAAACAAACACCUAAACUUAAGAGUUAUCAAAUUAGGCACAGCUUAUUUGAAAUAGGAUACAACCUCCACCACUGGGUAAGAGGGGUAAUAAAAAUAAAGUGGGCCCAAAAGCAGCCACCUUUAAAAAAGCGUCAAAGCUUAACUAUUACAACCCCCAAUUACUAAAAUAUACACUAACCCCUAAUUCCUACUGAACCCAUUUAUAUUAUUAUAAAAACGAUAAUGCUAGAACUAGUAACAAGAACUUGCCAUUCUCCACAAUGUAAAUAUAGACCAAAACGGACAUUCCAUUGGUAAUCAACGUAAAUGUAAAACCAUAAUAACACAAAACCAGAAAACCUUAUGGCAACCACACGUUACCCUAACACUAGAACAUUAUAGGAAAGAUUAAAAGAAAGAGAAGGAACUCGGCAAAUUUUAGCCCCGCCUGUUUACCAAAAACAUCGCCUCUUGACUAAGCAUAAGAGGUCCAGCCUGCCCAGUGAUAACAUUCAACGGCCGCGGUAUUCUGACCGUGCGAAGGUAGCAUAAUCACUUGUUCUCUAAAUAAGGACUAGUAUCAACGGCAUCACGAGGGCUAUACUGUCUCCCCUUUCCAAUCAGUGAAACUGAUCCCCCCGUGA